rnacentral:rRNA from 1 species
GGCCUGGCUGGGCGGUCCGCUUAACGGCGUGUACUGUCUGGCUGGGUCUUACCUCUUGGUGAGCCGGCGUGCCCUUUAUUGGUGUGCGUCGGGGAACCAGGACUUUUACCUUGAGAAAAUUAGAGUGUUCAAAGCAGGCCUAUGCCCGAAUACAUUAGCAUGGAAUAAUGGAAUAGGGCUCCGGUUCUAUUUUGUUGGUUUUCAGCUACCGAAGCA